rnacentral:rRNA from 1 species
AUUGAACGCUGGCGGCAUGCUUUACACAUGCAAGUCGAGCGGCAGCGCGGGGGGCAACCCUGGCGGCGAGCGGCGAACGGGUGAGUAAUGCAUCGGAACGUACCCUGGAGUGGGGGAUAACGCCGCGAAAGCGGCGCUAAUACCGCAUAUGCUCUGAGGAGGAAAGUGGGGGGACCGCAAGGCCUCACGCUCUGGGAGCGGCCGAUGUCCGAUUAGCUAGUUGGUGGGGUAAAGGCUUACCAAGGCGACGAUCGGUAGCUGGUCUGAGAGGAUGAUCAGCCACACUGGGACUGAGACACGGCCCAGACUCCUACGGGAGGCAGCAGUGGGGAAUUUUGGACAAUGGGGGCAACCCUGAUCCAGCCAUGCCGCGUGAGUGAAGAAGGCCU